rnacentral:rRNA from 1 species
AUGAACGCUGGCGGUGUGUCUAAGGCAUGCAAGUCGAACGUUCCCAAUUUUCUUCGGAUUAGUGGGAAGUGGCAAACGGGAGAGUAACACCUUGGUAACCUACCUUCGAGACGGGAAUAGCCCAGAGAAAUCUGGAUUAAUACCCGAUAGUCAUGGGGGGACAUAAGUCAUUCCCAUGUAAAUGUUUUUCGCUCGAAGAGGGGCCUAGGUCCUAUCAGCUAGUUGGUGAGGUAAUAGCUCACCAAGGCUAUGACGGGUAGAGGGCGUGAGAGCGUGACCCUCCUCACUGGGACUGAGAUACUGCCCAGACUCCUACGGGAGGCUGCAGUCAAGAAUAUUCCACAAUGGGCGAAAGCCUGAUGGAGCGACACCGCGUGCAGGAAGAAGCCCUUCGGGGUGUAAACUGCUUUUAUAAGGGACGAAUUCGUGACGGUACCUUAAGAAUAAGAGGUUGCUAACUCUGU